rnacentral:rRNA from 1 species
GAUGAACGCUGGCGGCGUGCCUAAUACAUGCAAGUCGAGCGAAUGGAUUAAGAGCUUGCUCUUAUGAAGUUAGCGGCGGACGGGUGAGUAACACGUGGGUAACCUGCCCAUAAGACUGGGAUAACUCCGGGAAACCGGGGCUAAUACCGGAUAACAUUUUGAACAGCAUGGUUCGAACUUGAAAGGCGGCUUCGGCUGUCACUUAUGAAUGGACCCGCGUCGCAUUAGCUAGUUGGUGAGGUAACGGCUCACCAAGGCAACGAUGCGUAGCCGACCUGAGAGGGUGAUCGGCCACACUGGGACUGAGACACGGCCCAGACUCCUACGGGAGGCAGCAGUAGGGAAUCUUCCGCAAUGGACGAAAGUCUGACGGAGCAACGCCGCGUGAGUGAUGAAGGCUUUCGGGUCGUAAAACUCUGUUGUUAGGGAAGAACAAGUGCUAGUUGAAUAAGCUGACACCUUGACGGUACCUAACCAGAAAGCCACGGCUAACUACGUGCCAGCCGCCGCAGUAA